AGUGAAGAAACAUUAAUCAAUGGAUUUUGAGGUAUCACCUAUGUUGCUGGCUGACUCUUGGACAAGUGGAAAAACACAGCAGACCUGUACUCUUUGCAUGAGCUAUAACUAGUUAACUUGUAACAAGCACUGUAUGAGCCUAAUAGGGAAAUACUUCUUGCUUCAACUUUGUAGUCAUGGUGAAAUCCAGUGUUGCUGUAGUUACAUAAAGGGAAAGAAUCUGGUUUCAUCAACAUAGGAAAGAACUGUAUUUCAAAUCCACCUUCCCUUCUGCCCCCCAGGAAAAAGCUAUUGUAGAUCUUUAAAAAUGACUUCCAAUUAAAGUUUUAUGAAUGUUAGGAAAUUUGUAUUUACUCGAAGUGGACUCUUUUCUGACUUUUUUUGCUGAUUUCAAGAGGGACUCAGUAGCCUCAUGUUCUCUUUGAGAGCCCUCCCUAACUAUUUAACUUUGAAAUGCAAACAAGACUGAGCAACAGAAGAAAAUGACCACAGUACAUUACUGCAUUCCUAACGGCUCUCCUAAUUUUAAGAUGUCUUACUAGAAUUUCAUGUCUCCUUGCUAGAGAAAAAAAAUGACCUUAUGAAGACAAGAACUGCCAGGAGGGAUCUCUGCCUUUCUACAACUUUCCUGCACAUUCUUAAAGACAGUUUUAAGACAAAUGGAUGCCAAUAAAGCCCAUAGGAAAUUAUAGCUAGCCCUCAUGAGAAGGGUACACUGGUUUAUCUGGCUGCUCUUCCAAAUAGGCAAUACUCCCCAACAAAGUAAGAGACAGGUGAUAACAUGUUUUGAAACACUCCUAAGCAGGUCCUUCUCAAGGUCAGACAGAUCUUUUUUUGAAUUUUGCAUUGGGGUGAAAGAGAUGACUUAAUUGCUUGCAAUAAAUCUUCAAAUAUCAUAUGGUGACAUUUUGGUGAACAAAUACACGCUCCUGCAAGUUAAAGCAAUACUUGAUGGUCUAACAUCCAUUGAAAGGAAAAAAAUACAUACAUAAUUAUACUGAAUUCAAACUUUUCCCAUCAUGUCAAAAUCCAUCUGCUCUUUCAAGCCACCUGGUUGUUUCAAAUCAAAUGGUCAACCAUAAUGGCAAUUAAUUUGCAGCUGAUAAGCAUCAGAAAAAUCUCCACUGCAAUGUCUACAAAGAGAGAAUGACUGACUUUGUCUUUAAAGCUGAAAUUCCCACUUUCUCUGAGCUCACUGACAUCAAGGGAAUUUCAUCUGCAUAAUUCUGCUGUUACCAAAAAAGCCUUAGACCCUAUGCUCUAUUCUGUGGGGGAGCUUUUAGUUUGGUUAUUACCUUCCUAGUCUUCUUAAGGGAACACUGUGCUGCACUGUACGCGGUCAUGUCUGUGGUGUUACAUUCAAAGUGACAAAACUGAGGGUACUGAUAAGCAAACAACAUUCCUGAGUCUGCAGAAGCUGUUAAUGGUAUAAUACAGCAGUCAG